AGUGAACGCUGGCGGCGUGCUUAACACAUGCAAGUCGAACGAGAACGGAUUAUAGCUUGCUAUAAUUGUCAGCUAAGUGGCGCACGGGUGAGUAAUGUAUAGGUAAUAUGCCUCUUACUAAGGGAUAACAAAUGGAAACGUUUGCUAAUACCUUAUACUCCUUAUUAACAGAAGUUAAUAAGGGAAAGAUUUAUUGGUAAGAGAUUAGCCUGUAUUGUAUCAGUUAGUUGGUGGGGUAAUGGCUUACCAAGACUAUGACACAUAACUGGUUUGAGAGGCUGAUCAGUCACACUGGAACUGAGACACGGUCCAGACUCCUACGGGAGGCAGCAGUGGGGAAUAUUGCACAAUGGACGAAAGUCUGAUGCAGCAACGCCGCGUGGAGGAUGACACAUUUCGGUGCGUAAACUCCUUUUAUAUGAGAAGAUAAUGACGGUAUUAUAUGAAUAAGCACCGGCUAACUCCGUGCCAGCAGCCGCCGCGG
rnacentral:rRNA from 1 species